UCUCUGUCUCUCUCUCUCUCUCUCCUCUUGUUUCAGGGAGCAUAGAAAUACUAGAUUACAAUUGAGGUACAGUCUCCUUCCACCGCAUUGGAGAUGCAGCCAAGUUUAAGUCUGUUAUUGUAUAGUGCUAUGACUUCUCUGAGUCCCCUGGACAAUGACUGAGGAGACCAACCUUUCAGGAAACAAAG
rnacentral:snoRNA from 14 species